rnacentral:rRNA from 1 species
AUUGAACGCUGGCGGCAUGCCUUACACAUGCAAGUCGAACGGUAACAGGUCUUCGGAUGCUGACGAGUGGCGAACGGGUGAGUAAUACAUCGGAACGUGCCUAGUAGUGGGGGAUAACUACUCGAAAGAGUGGCUAAUACCGCAUGAGAUCUACGGAUGAAAGAAGGGGAUCGCAAGACCUUGUGCUACUAGAGCGGCCGAUGGCAGAUUAGGUAGUUGGUGGGAUAAAAGCUUACCAAGCCGACGAUCUGUAGCUGGUCUGAGAGGACGAUCAGCCACACUGGGACUGAGACACGGCCCAGACUCCUACGGGGGGCAGCAGUGGGGAAUUUUGGACAAUGGGCGCAAGCCUGAUCCAGCAAUGCCGCGUGCAGGAUGAAGGCCUUCGGGUUGUAAACUGCUUUUGUACGGAACGAAAAGCCCUGGGUUAAUACCCUGGGGUCAUGACGGUACCGUAAGAAUAAGCACCGGCUAACUACGUGCCAGCCGCCGCAGUAACAC